CUGGGGAGAUGGCUCAGUGGGUAAAACCCUUGCUUUGUUGUCCUGAGGACCUGAGUUCAGAUGCCUGGAGCCUGAGUAAAAGCUGGACUGGGUAGCAGCUCUGACAUGGGAGAAUCCAAGGAGGCUCUCUGGUCAGCUGGCCUGGAGUACUACACAGUGGUGAACAAACUGGAAGUUCCAUCUUCAUAAGGACCUGACAAUACACCUUAAUGAGAGAGUGGGGAGCAGAGCAUCUUUACAGAUCCAGAGAAGAGAUGAGGAUGAGACAAAGCAGCAGACAGAAAGGCACAGCGUGUCCACGGAUGGAGACUCUGUGGAUUCCCGGGGGUAACAGACUCUGUGGUACUAAUUUAGAUCAUUAGAGCUGAUAAGAAAUAGAAUUACAUAGAAAAUAAAGACUUCCUCAGAUAUU